GUGUUCACUUCAGCUACACAUAUGCAAAAAUUGGAAUGAUACAGAGGAGAUUAGCAUGGUCCCUGCACAAGGAUGAUAAGUAAAUGGAGGACCAGAGCUGUCCAUUG
ensembl:snRNA U6 U6 spliceosomal RNA